rnacentral:sRNA from 1 species
CUAACAGAAAGUCAAACUACGUGACUCAUUAUCAGAAAAGUCAUCAUGGGCAAAGAGCUUGGUAAAUGUUCUUCUACGAAGGUAUGGGCCAAAGGAUGUCAUCCUCGGUACAGCCAUCUCCUUAACCUACGUCUCGGAGUAGAAUGGGGUAUAAGGCAUCAUGUCCCAGAGUCAUCAAGCGAGCUUCACUCAUCUUUCCAAAAAAAGCCCCCUUCGACGACUUUACAGGAAAGCGAAAGAAGGCAUUUAUCAGGCAUUGAUGCCGUCGUACUCCCAAAAAGGGCGCAUUUCCAGCACUGUCCUUUUUGCUUACAUUACGCCAACUUGUGUAGAGCUCCGCUGGGUGUAAUGUGGAUCUUCACCAACGAUUCGCUUAGCCAAUCGCCUUCGGACUUCCCUUUUUCGCAUUCCUUGGACAGCUUUCUAUAAUUUUGCGACUCCGAAUGAUAUAAUAAAGAUCAAAUUCCGCCCGCAUCCCUUAGUGAACCGGCUGCACGAAGACUGAAACGGAUUAUGGGAAGACGCGAAAGAGUCUACAGCUCAACAGCGGGCCGCGAAUACGAUGGAUGAAAGGUAAAUGAACCACCUUUGGGUAUGAAAAAAAAGAGAGGGAUAAAAAAUUUGAUAGAGUAAGGGGGGUGUAUAAUAUGCAC